GACGAACGCUGGCGGCGUGCUUAACACAUGCAAGUCGAACGGACCUUAUUUGGAGGAAGCUUUCGGGUAGACACUGAAUAAGGUUAGUGGCGGACGGGUGAGUAACGCGUAGAUAAUCUACCUUAAAGACUGGGACAACAGUUGGAAACGACUGCUAAUACCGGAUGAGCUAAACGGAAGGCAUCUUCUGUUUAGGAAAGGAGGCCUCUUAACAAUGCUCCCGCUUUUAGAUGAGUCUGCGUCUGAUUAGCUAGUUGGUGGGGUAACGGCUUACCAAGGCGACGAUCAGUAGUCGGCCUGAGAGGGUGACCGGCCACAUUGGGACUGAGACACGGCCCAA
rnacentral:rRNA from 1 species